UGCAUCCAUGAUGUCUCGAAGAUUGUUAUCUCAUAAUGUGAUGAAUCCAGGUAAAGCAGGGACAUCGUAUGGCGAGGUGGCGUGGAGAAAUAGACAAUUUUAUGAUAAUUGUAAAGACGGGGUUUUGACACGAGUAGAAAACAUGCUCAGUACUUCACAUCCUAAAAGUCAACCAUUUACAGUAGCUGAGUUUGGAGCAGCAGACGGAGCCGUAUCAAUGGAACUUAUGAGGGAUAUUAUAGGUGUUAUUCGAGAGAAGAGUCAUCCAGAUAAAGAAAUACAUAUCAUAUAUGAAGAUCUACCCACAAAUGAUUUUAAUUCAUUAUAUAAACGGA